rnacentral:rRNA from 1 species
CUGGCGGAAUGCUUUACACAUGCAAGUCGAGCGGCAGCGCGGGGCAACCUGGCGGCGAGCGGCGAACGGGUGAGUAACACAUCGGAACGUACCCUGUUGUGGGGGAUAGCCCGGCGAAAGCCGGAUUAAUACCGCAUAAGACCUGAGGGUGAAAGCGGGGGACCGCAAGGCCUCGCGCGACAGGAGCGGCCGAUGGCGGAUUAGCUAGUUGGUGGGGUAAAGGCUCACCAAGGCGACGAUCCGUAGCUGGUCUGAGAGGAUGAUCAGCCACACUGGAACUGAGACACGGUCCAGACUCCUACGGGAGGCAGCAGUGGGGAAUUUUGGACAAUGGGGGCAACCCUGAUCCAGCCAUUCCGCGUGAGUGAAGAAGGCCUUCGGGUUGUAAAGCUCUUUCGGCAGGAACGAAACGGUGGGCUCUAACAUAGUCUGCUAAUGACGGUACCUGAAGAAGAAGCACCGGCUAACUACGUGCCAGCAGCCGCGGUAAUACGUAGGGUGCGAGCGUUAAUCGGAAUUACUGGGCGUAAAGCGUGCGCAGGCGGUUUCGUAAGACAGAUGUGAAAUCCCCGGGCUUAAGCUGGGAACUGCGUUUGUGACUGCGAGACUGGAGUGUGGCAGAGGGGGGUGGA